rnacentral:rRNA from 1 species
CACCCUUGUGACAUACCUAUUACGUUCCCUCGGCGGUGCUGUUGGCGCUUCGGCGUCAGGCCCGCCAGAGGACAACCCAAACUCUUGUUUUUUUAUAAAGAAUCUUCUGAGUGAAAACAAACAAUAAAUCAAAACUUUCAACAACGGAUCUCUUGGUUCUGGCAUCGAUGAAGAACGCAGCGAAAUGCGAUAAGUAAUGUGAAUUGCAGAAUUCAGUGAAUCAUCGAAUCUUUGAACGCACAUUGCGCCCGCCAGUAUUCUGGCGGGCAUGCCUGUUCGAGCGUCAUUUCAACCCUCGAGCCCCUCUGGGCUUGGUGUUGGGGACCGGCAGGGCGUCGCUUCGGCGGCGCGCCGUCCCCCAAAUCUAGUGGCGGUCUCGCUGUAGCCAACUCUGCGUAGUAGUAACAUCUCGCACUGGAAGCUCGGCGCGGCCACGCCGUAAAACCCCCAACUUUUUUUUGGUUGACCUCGAAUCAGGUAGGACUACCCGCUGAACUUAAGCAUAUCAAUAAGCGGAGGAA